GGCCACUGGUCCGACCGGUGCUGCACGUCCGGCGCAGACUCCAUGUGUUGGCCAUCCUCGUUCCGUGCGCUGUGCACGACCUCAUCCGCGACCAAGCCGCUCGCCUCCUCUUCGCCCCUAUAGAACCUAGCCGACCCCAUUGCCUGCCAAACCCUAGCUCCCCAUUUCCCUCUCCACCUUUGGCGCCAGCCCGAGCUCCACCGCCGCCGUCGAUUCGUCGUCUCCGAUGAACUGUGGCUCGAUUCCUCGCGCAGGGAGUAUCUCCCCCUUCUCCUUGACCCGUUCCCCUCCUAAUCCGGCCCGUUCCCUCGCCGUGUAGGGCCGCCGACGAGCACCUCCACCCGUCGUCGUCCCUGCUCGCCGUGGCGCCUCCCUGUUGUGCCGUUCCUUCAUCUGCGCUUUGGAUCAGCCGAAAGUGGUGUUCGGCCACUUCUACCUCACCAACCUAGGUACGGGGGAGGAGUAGGUCGUUGAGGCUGGGAUGGUGUCAUUGAGCAAGACAUCAUUAUCUUGGUAUGUUUUUAUCAUAAUCGAACUCCGUGAGAGUAUGUAAAAUGCAAUAAACUUUAAGUUUAUGUUUAAUAUGGUUUUCGUGAGCCCAAGGCUUGUAACAGAAGUUAGUUUGAACCCACGUAUAUCGAACUUGUAAUAUUAAGUGUGUAAAAUUGCUCUUUGUGGAUCAUCGGCAAUGUACGUGAUUGUAUAA